GGUCCUGUCUAGCUCAAUGGGUAGAGCAUGGCUAGCUAGCUUUAGCCAGGGUUAGGGGUUCGAUUCCCACUGGGGCCA